rnacentral:lncRNA from 1 species
CUUUUCUAACUAACACAAAUAAAUCUUGCAUUGAAACCAGUCAAAUAAACGGAGGAACACAGUAUAAACAAUUCAAGUAAAGUAUAUUUUUCAACAAUUAGCACAAGUACACGCUUGUCACCUCACAUACAAGGCAUUUAAAUCAGUAGAUAAGAAGUCCUAAGGGGAGAGGUCCCCCACACAAGGUUAAACAAGCCACUAACCUCAAACCGGUGCAAAAUCAAUAAGGAACGAUGCCCUUACCACGAGUAUCUGACUCCGAGUGGCCCAAAUCUAUUCAAACCAAUUACAUAUUGUAAAUAACAUCGAAAGUAACCAAUUCCACUAUUAAAAUUAAAGCUAAGGCGCGAAAAUAGGUAAAAUAACCAAAAUGCCCCUCAAUCCAACAUCUCGGAACCAAAUAAUUUUUAUAUUUUCUGAAACCUCGUACUUUCACGAGUCUAACCAUAUACAAAUCUCAG